AUGCCCUUUCUGAAAGGCUGCUCCUGAAAGGGAGGUUACCCUUUGAAAGCGCAGGUCAGGGGCUGCAGCUCUUUGGCUGUCAGUUGACUUGGCUGGGCGGGUCCAAUAUCAGUUGGGUUCCUCUUGCCUUGGCCUGAGGUUCCUGGCUGUGAGGGGUGGCUUGAAAACCUCUUAAGCAUUUUUUCUGAAGACAGACUGCUAGCUGGCUUGCUGGCUGCAGACUGAUUUAAUAAUGACAACUCUCAACAACGGAUAUCUUGGCUCCCGUAACGAUGAAGAACGCAGCGAAAUGCGAUACGUAGUGUGAAUUGCAGAAUUCCGUGAACCAUCGAAUCUUUGAACGCAAAUUGCGCUUGAGGCUUCGGCCAAGAGCAUGUCUGGCUCAGCGUCGGCUUACUACCCUCAAUGAAUUCCCUUGUGGACACUGAUUGGAGCUGGCUUUCCGGUUUUCCGACUAGGUUGCCGGUCAGCUGAAAAACAUUCGCGCUAUGGGAGCUGCUUUCCCUUCAAAAAGGAAAGCCGAGUUCCGAUUUGGUAGGUGACCUUUGCCGGUUGCAUGCCUUCGUUGCUCGCCA
rnacentral:rRNA from 1 species